CGCCGGGCUCGGAAUGGGGUGAGACUUUUCGAGGGGCCUCGGGGCACCAAAAAUAAGCCGCGGGCUAACCUGCGCCCAAAAAUAAGCGCCCGAAGGUCGUGGUGCCAAAACCCCCCAGCGGAAAAAUGGCCAAAAAACGGGUGGGCUAUAGCCUUGGUGGGGGGCGCGGGCGAAGUUCGUCCGCCGGACUUGGAAUGGGGCGAGAGUUUGCGAGGGGCCUCGGGGUGCCCGCGGGAAGUCGCGGGCACAGCCGCGUCCAGAAAUAAGCGCCCGAAGGUCGUGGUGCCAAAACCCCCCAGCGGAAAAAUGGCCAAAAAACGGGUGGGCUAUAGCCUUGGUGGGGGGCGCGGGCGAAGUUCGUCCGCCGGGCUCGGAAUGGGGCGAGACUUUGCGAGGGGCCUCGGGGUGCCCGCGGGAAGUCGCGGGCACAGCCGCGCCC
rnacentral:lncRNA from 1 species